AUCACAAUAUGCUAAUAUUUUGAGAAGGACCUGUACAGAAAUAUACAUUCAAAGCAUAUUACAUACAUUCUAAUUCAAUUCUGGUAGUAAACUAAUGCAGUUAAUUUCAGUUUUAUAUUCUAAUUAUUAAAAAUUUUUCUUUUGCUUACAGCAUUUUUCACACCUGCCUAAAACUUUUGCACAGUACUGUAAAUGGAAAUGAAAGAAACUUUUUGUUGAAGAUUUCCUGUUUUUUAUUCAUCCGUGUUGCAUAAUCUGUAGGUGAGGCUAACAAAUAAAUAAGGAUGUAAAUAAUGACUUUUAGAUUUAUCAGCAACUAAUUGUUAUUACAUUGGGAUUGGCCAUUAUGUUUUCAUAAAUCACAGCUUCUUCUAUGAUUAUUGAUAACCUAAAAAAGCAUUAAUUAACCAAACAUGUUUGAUACAUAAAAUAAACAAAGCCAAAUGUCUUGAUGAGAUCUAAACAUUAAAGAGAAGUUACCAGUUUAUCCUUACAAGGCAAUAGAGAACAGUUUAGCAGCUAAUGUGUGAAGUCCUUUUUUUAAAUAGACAUGUUAAUGUGUGGUGUACUUGUUAGGGCCUUGAGUUUCAAAAGAAAAUAUUUCCAUCACAAACAAGCUGUUUUACUUUUGCAAGAAACUACUUUAUGUUAAUGAGUGACUAAGUAGGUACUUUUGUUAUGUCGCAUUAGUAUUUAAUAUAACACAUUUCUAUUUUACUUAUUUACAGUGUUUAUAUGCAAUGAAAUAAAAGACUAAAUAUGCAAUAAAAAAAAAGACUUUAGAGACGCCUGUUUCUUUAAGGACUGGCGUUCCGGUUCAGUCUCUCUACUUCCUUUAAGUUUUUUUGCUGAAAGCAGAACGAAGGCUGGGCAAGAAAAUUGGCACCAACAUCACUUCUAUAUAUUAAGUUUAGUCUUCAGAGUAAAAUCAGUUUACUGAGUGGAGACAGUUAAGUUGAGCUUCUCUUCAGCUGUUUUAUAUAUCCAGGAUGUCCUUAGAUAUUAAGUCCACAACAGAUUUCUUUCAAAGAGUGAGAUACAGCAUAACAAAGCAGGGAGACACAGCAGAGUGGGAGAAGAAGAAGGUUUAUAUCUACAACUACAUAAAUGACAUGAUGGAUGAUUCUCAGGUAGAAGGACGUAAGUAAAGUAGAUGAGAUAAAGACGACAUAUAUUUAUUUUAAAUAUUAUGAAUUUAUGUGUUGAAUUAAAGUAAAUUGUUCUCUCUUAACUUAAUCUGCAGCCAACAAAGCGUCUGUUAGAUGUGCAACACUGAGCAGAAGACUACUGUACAUACUGAUAUUAGCUGGGAUCAUCAGCCUGACCGUAUACUUCACUUUGGAAAUACAGAAAGUGAACAACAGCUACGACCAUCAACACCAGAAACUUUCAGCCAACAACAAUCAGCUACAGGACAGCUAUAACAUACUCAGCAAAAAUCACAGCCAGUUAACAGAAGAAGUAAACAGACU